CUUUACUUCAGUGGCGUUCGCAUCGUCUUCAUCGUCGGUGUCCCAAUGAAGGAGAGAUAGGUUGGAGCAAACAUCACGCUAGUCUUUUCUAUACGAAGAGAAAUAGAGAUAAUCGGCGCAAUAAUAUUCUUACGUGUUACGGAAGUCUGGGUAACGUUACAAAAUUUCAACGACAAUUAUUACGUAAUACUUGCAACGAAAGGAAGAAUACUUACAAGAGCGAGAAAUUGUUCGCUAUUCUUCAGUCGUAUCAUUGGCAAAAGUGGCGUUUGAGGAAUUCAACGAGGCAAGAGCAGGAUGGAAUCCCGAUCAAAUGUGAAGAGCCACGUAAUUUUCAGAGACCCGAAUGUUUUUUGAGCGAACAGUACGCAGAAGCGGCGGGCGUGGAGAAGGGAAAAGGGCGUAGUAAGUCAUACGGAGAGGCUCGUACGUCAUCCUCCAUCCGGGCCAACGGAGCAACACAUGGAAAGGGGCUGCGGAGCCUCCAUACACGACGAACGCACCUACUUGGCUUGCCUCUUUAGGUCGAGGUUCGCUAGUGUUCGCGUACCACCACACACGUUCAUAACACGCACUCACACGCUGGUCACUCGUGUGCCUCGAUAUGUAGGAGAGGCUGAACCACUUGGUCACGGGCGUGCAACACGCACGCCUAUAUUCGACGCAAAGUCCACGAUCCGAUCUUUUCAAUUUUCCAAUUGUAAAUUAGCGCCUUAAAUGGUUGGUAAAAAAGAAGGCGUCGUAGAAGCGUGAGUAUACGGGAACGAAGCGACCGGAAACAUCGACCACUCAUCAAGAGGGAAGUUCUCUCAGCCAUGUUUGUCAGCCAUUGAGGCUCCUAUCGAGGAUAAACGUUAGAAAUAAACGACCAACGAGGGAAAAUUAUAGUGGAAACAUAAGGAAAGAAACAAAACAUUCCUACCACACACGAAGACGCGGAACGAUCUUGGUCGAUACACACAAAGAUAUGUGCUCUGUAUUACCGACGAGCCUCGCAGCGACGAUAGCGGUAAGCGCGGAGGCACAUAAGAGGGAGGGGUAAACGAGCCGAGCCACGAUUUCGUCGUCGUAAACGUCAACGUUACGGUUACAGCGUUGUUCCUAGCUGGUUUAUAUUGAACGAGGUUGCUCCCCGAGUUAUUGAAUGGAAGACGCCGAGUUGAUUCAGGAAUACGCGAGCAAAACGACGCCCGGUUGAGAGGAUUCUUUGCUCCGGGCCGUGAGCCGGUACCGUGGCCGAAACUUGACGUUAGAUGGAACGAGAACGAUGCAACACCGCCGCCUCCUUGAAUAUUAAAUUCUUUCUGCCGUUGAAUUUAGUAUUUAUAGAAGGACGUAAAGAAUAAGAGAGAGGUUCUCCUCUCGCGUGGUUCUCCUGCGGGAGGAGGAAAUAAAAUAAAAAAAAAAAGACAGAAAAGGGAGGAAGAGUACAACGGCGGGGCCUUAAACCGGACCAAAGGGCGCGAGAAGGAGGCUAGGAGAAGAAGAUCGUAGGUAAGAGUGAAACAGGACGGCGAAGAAUGAGAGGUAACGGGGGUAAGAAGAGAGGACCAAACUACGA